CAACCCUUAAGCCCCUGUUGCUUAGUGUUAGGAGACUACGCCCUCGGCGUAGCUCCCUAAAGUUAGUGGCAGAGUCAGUUCAAACUCUAGGUGUAGUAAAUUUCUUCUCGCCUCUGUAGUUGGGCUGCCCCUCGCCGUAAAACACCCCAAAUUUUAAA
rnacentral:misc_RNA from 1 species